AGCAUGGUAGCCGAGUGGGUAAAGCGCCUAGGCUAUUUACUAGGUACCGAAUAUCGAUGGUUCGAAUCCAUCCCGGAGCAA
rnacentral:tRNA from 1 species